GUGCCCUUAGCUCAGCAGGAUAGAGCGACUGCCUCCUAAGCAGUAGGUCAUCGGUUCGAUUCCGAUAGGGCACA
rfam:Lactobacillus casei ATCC 334, complete genome.